GACGAACGCUGACGGUGUGCUUUAGACAUGCAAGUCGAACGAGAAAGCCCUUCGGGGUUAGUAAAGUGGCGAACGGGUGAGUAACACGUGGGCAAUCUGCCCCUCGCAGGGGGACAACCGGAGGAAACUCCGGCUAAUACCCCGUAAGUUCAAAGGGAGGCAUCUCUCUUCGAAGAAAGGUAGCUUCGGCCAUCCGGCGAGGGAUGAGCCCGCGGUGCAUUAGCUAGUUGGUGGGGUAACGGCCUACCAAGGCGACGAUGCAUAGCUGGUCUGAGAGGAUGAUCAGCCACACUGGGACUGAGACACGGCCCAGACUCCUACGGGAGGCAGCAGUGGGGAAUCUUGCGCAAUGGGCGAAAGCCUGACGCAGCGACGCCGCGUGAGGGAUGACGGCC
rnacentral:rRNA from 1 species